UCCUCUGUAGUUCAGUCGGUAGAACGGCGGACUGUUAAUCCGUAUGUCACUGGUUCGAGUCC
rnacentral:tRNA from 1 species